rnacentral:snRNA from 1 species
AUGCUCGCUUCUGCAGCACAUGUACUAAAAUUGGAAUGAUACAGAGAAGAUUAGCACGAACCCUGUGCAAGAAUUACAUGCAAAGUUGUGAAGCGUUCCAUAUUUUU